rnacentral:rRNA from 1 species
GACAGAGGAGGCGAGCGUUAUCCGGAUUUAUUGGGCGUAAAGGGCACGCAGGCGGCUUGGUUAGUCUGGGGUUAAAGCUCCUGGCUUAACUGGGAGAGGGCCUUCGAUACUGCGGGGCUGGAGGUUGGAAGAGGGGUGUGGAAUUCCCGGUGUAGUGGUGGAAUGCGUAGAUAUCGGGAGGAACACCUGUGGCGAAGGCGGCACCCUGGUCCACACCUGACGCUGAGGUGCGAAAGCGUGGGGAGCAAACAGG